rnacentral:rRNA from 1 species
UAGGGAAUCUUCGGCAAUGGGGGCAACCCUGACCGAGCAACGCCGCGUGAGUGAAGAAGGUUUUCGGAUCGUAAAGCUCUGUUGUAAGAGAAGAACGUGUGUGAGAGUGGAAAGUUCACACAGUGACGGUAACUUACCAGAAAGGGACGGCUAACUACGUGCCAGCAGCCGCGGUAAUACGUAGGUCCCGAGCGUUGUCCGGAUUUAUUGGGCGUAAAGCGAGCGCAGGCGGUUUAAUAAGUCUGAAGUUAAAGGCAGUGGCUUAACCAUUGUUCGCUUUGGAAACUGUUAAACUUGAGUGCAGAAGGGGAGAGUGGAAUUCCAUGUGUAGCGGUGAAAUGCGUAGAUAUAUGGAGGAACACCGGUGGCAAAAGCGGCUCUCUGGUCUGUAACUGACGCUGUGGCUCGAAAGCGUGGGGAGCAAACAGG